CUGAGUUUUUAACUCCAAACCAUUGUGAACUUACCACUGUUGCCUCGGCGGCGACAGCCUGCUGGUGCUUCGGCAUCAGUGGGUUUAACCGCCGGUGGACUACUAAACUAUGUUAAUUUUUGGCAAAUCUGAAUAAAAAACUUAAUAAGUUA
rnacentral:misc_RNA from 1 species